GUCAUUUCAAUAGAUGCUGAAAAAGCACUUGAUAAAGUUCAGCAUACCUUCAUGAUAAGAACUCUUAUCAAAAAACUAGGUAUAGAUGGAACAUAUCUCAACAUAAUAAAAACCAUAUACCGCAUACCACAGACCUACAGCUAGUAUCAUACUGAAUGAGGAAAAACUGAAAGCCUUUCCUCUAAGAUCUGGAACAUGACAAGAAUGCCCUCUUUCAUCAAUGUUAUUCAAUAUAGUGGUGGAAGUCCUAGCUAGAGCAAUCAGACAAGAGAAUGAAAUAAAGGGCAUCCAAAAUGGAAUGGAAAAAGUCAAAUUAUCCUUGUUUGCAGAUGAUAUGAUCUUAUAUUAAAAACAAUCCAA